rnacentral:tRNA from 1 species
GCCUGGGUGGCUCAGUCGGUUGAGCAUCUGACUCCAGCUCAGGUCAUGAUCUCACGGUCUGUGAGUUCGAGCCCCACGUCGGGCU